rnacentral:rRNA from 1 species
UGGGGAAUUUUGGACAAUGGGCGCAAGCCUGAUCCAGCCAUGCCGCGUGGGUGAAGAAGGCCUUCGGGUUGUAAAGCCCUUUCGGCUGGGACGAAAAGGUCCGUGUUAACACCACGGAUCCAUGACGGUACCAGCAGAAGAAGCACCGGCUAACUACGUGCCAGCAGCCGCGGUAAUACGUAGGGUGCAGGCGUUAAUCGGAAUUACUGGGCGUAAAGCGUGCGCAGGCGGUCUUUUAAGUCAGAUGUGAAAUCCCCGGGCUUAACCUGGGAACUGCGUUUGAAACUGGAAGGCUUGAGUGUGGCAGAGGGGGGUGGAAUUCCACGUGUAGCAGUGAAAUGCGUAGAGAUGUGGAGGAACACCGAUGGCGAAGGCAGCCCCCUGGGCUAACACUGACGCUCAUGCACGAAAGCGUGGGGAGCAAACAGG